rnacentral:rRNA from 1 species
CCUUAACCUGCUAAAUAGUGACGGGAGCAUUUUUGCUCUACGCGCACUUCUUAGAGGGACUGUGGAUGCAAAUCCAUGGAAGUUUGAGGCAAUAACAGGUCUGUGAUGCCCUUAGAUGUCCUGGGCCGCACGCGCGCUACACUGACGGAGACAACGAGUAUUCACCUUGGCCGUAAGGUCUGGGUAAUCUUUUGAAACUCUGUCGUGAUGGGGAUUGUCCAUUGCAAUUAUUGGACAUGAACGAGGAAUUCCUAGUAAGUGCGUGUCAUCAGCACGCGUUGAUUACGUCCCUGCCCUUUGUACACACCGCCCGUCGCUACUACCGAUUGAAUGGCUUAGUGAGACCUCCGGAUUAACUUGCUUAGGCCGCGAGGCUUUCGCUUGUCGAAAAGUUGGUCAAACUUGGUCAUUUAGAGGAAGUAAAAGUCG